rfam:Erinaceus europaeus unplaced genomic scaffold scaffold00313, whole genome shotgun sequence
AGCCAUGAGUCCCUGAUCGUCUCUCUCCCACCUGCGAAGCUAGCCUGGCAGGCAGGUGUCCCUUCCUCCCUCACCGCUCCAUGUGCACCCCUACCAAAGCUGUGCACUCUGUCAAGAGGAUGACCCUCCUUGAAUAGAGGUGGACAGGUCUUCAAUCGAGGGUAUAAGAGUAGCUGCGCUCCCCUGCUAGAACCUCCAAACAAGCUCUCAGAAGGAUGCACCUUUUUAUCACAUUGUAAUAAUAAAAGCCCUUCAUAUGUGUUAUCCUGAAUUGUACAGUUUGUGAGACUUU